AUUGAACGCUGGCGGCAUGCUUUACACAUGCAAGUCGAACGGCAGCACGAAAGUUCUUGCUCUAUUGGUGGCGAGUGGCGAACGUGAGAGUAAUGCAUCGGCCCGUUACGAGUAAUUGGGGAUAACUGUCCGACGGUAUAGCUAAUACCGCAUAGGCUUUGAGAAGGGAAGUGGGUGCUCCUCGGCCCUCUCGUUAUUCCAUAGGCCGAUGUCUGAUUAGCUAGUUGGUGGGGUAAAGGCCUACCAAGGCGACGAUCAGUAGCGGGUCUGAGAGGAUGAUCCGCCACACUGGGACUGAGACACGGCCCAGACUCCUACGGGAGGCAGCAGUGGGGAAUAUUGGACAAUGGGCGAAAGCCUGAUCCAGCCAUGCCGCGUGUGUGAAGAAGGUCUUCGGGUUGUAAAGGACUUUUAUUUGGGAAGAAAAGGAUUGUGUUAAUACCAUGAUCUGUUGACGGUACCUAAAGAAUAAGCACCGGCUAACUACGUG
rnacentral:rRNA from 1 species